rnacentral:rRNA from 1 species
UCGGGUUGUAAAGCACUUUUGUCCGGAAAGAAAUCCUCUUCGCUAAUACCGAGGGGGGGAUGACGGUACCGGAAGAAUAAGCACCGGCUAACUACGUGCCAGCAGCGCGGUAAUCGUAGGGUGCAAGCGUUAAUCGGAAUUACUGGGCGUAAAGUGUGCGCAGGCGGUUCGCUAAGACAGAUGUGAAAUCCCCGGGCUUAACCUGGGAACUGCAUUUGUGACUGGCGGGCUAGAGUAUGGCAGAGGGGAGUAGAAUUCCACGUGUAGCAGUGAAAUGCGUAGAGAUGUGGAGGAAUACCGAUGGCGAAGGCAGCCCCCUGGGCCAAUACUGACGCUCAUGCACGAAAGCGUGGGGAGCAAACAGGAUUAGAUACCCUGGUAGUCCACGCCCUAAACGAUGUCAACUAGUUGUCGGGUCUUCAUUGACUUGGUAACGUAGCUAACGCGUGAAGUUGACCGCCUGGGGAGUACGGUCGCAAGAUUAAAACUCAAAGGAAUUGACGGGGACCCGCACAAGCGGUGGAUGAAUGUGGAUUAAUUCGAUGCAACGCGAAAAACCUUACCUACCCUUGACAUGGUCGGAACCUGCUG